AAAAGCAAUUUUGUUAAUCACUUUAGCACCAAUUCUUGCAUCCCUGGCAAUACUCAGAACUGCUUCCAUCCAAGUCUUUGAUGUGGGAAAGAAACACACACACACUCUUUCGCAUGUAAUCUGAAAACAAUUCACCUCUUGCCAAUGAAUGCACAGCACUCCACUUUAAUAGAGAGCAAGUUCUGUGGAGGUUUCUAAUCCUUUCUGCCAAAGAAGAGAAGAGAGAGAAUCACUCAGCUUCUAUUGCAGAUGUGAAGUUUAGCAUUUCUUUGCUCACUCUUUUACUGGGAAACUCUUCUAGCGGAAAGCCUGUCAUCUGUUGUGAAGGAGAGCUGGUGUUGACUUGAAGCAACAGAGUUGGUGGUCCAGUGGCCAUUGUCCUGUGUUAGGAGCAGGUGGUCUCGCUAAGCUCCAUGUGUUUGGAAAUUUCUCUGACCAGUGCUUGUUCUGCUAAAGGAAGAAGAGCUCAAGCUGCACUCCUUGUUUCCAGGUCAAUCUACUGAACCUGGGAAAAUCCCCAGGGGCUAGCUUGAACUUCUUCCUGCUUUUCUCUUCAUGGUGGAUUUUAAACAUAGGGGAUUUUCCUCAUUCAUCUAUUUGUAUUUCAAACAGCUGCUAUAAGAAAGGGGAAAAGGCACAUUUUAUAGUACAUAUUUUUAGAAGCAGUGACAUAGUUUCUCAAAGGAUAACAGUUAAAUUUUGGUCCAAAGACUAUAAUUGCUCUUUACUUGGUGGGUGGGUGUGUGUGUAUUUUAUAUAUAUAUAUAUACAUAUGUGUGUGUGUGUUGUUUUUGAGUAUGUGUGUAUACAUUUUUUACUAAAGUAAAAAACAAAAAAAUUAAGAUCUAUUCUUAUUCCAUUCACAUUAAAACUUGUGUUUAUAUUUAACAACUUAACACAAUCCACCAUCUGUUGAAGAUACUGUAUGAAUGAUACUCCAGAAAAGUUGUCCUGUGUGUUUUUCACAUUUUUUUCCACAUUUUUAACAGGACUUGAAACCUAGGACAAUAUAAAUAAAUGAUAUCCUGUGGUUUCAUUCAGUGUAAUAAAUGUCUCAAAUGAAAAAAAUUUACUUAAACUUUGGCAUUGUUAAAUAGUAGUAAUAACAAUAGAAUCAGAAAUAAGAAUUUUGUAUUUAACCUGGCACUUUCUUCCAGAAAAACUAAAGAUGCUUGGGAGCAAAUUUUUUCUAGAACUUAAUUCUCAUUAUUUUCUUGGAAAAGAACUCAUAAGGUCAUAUUUGUACAUAUUCUAUCUUAGUGGUGACUGAUUAUUUACUUAUACUUUUAAAAAGAACCUAGAAUCUGAAGGCAAGGUAAGAAAUCCCCAGUGAUCAUGAAAAUUUCACAAGGUUUUGUGGUUCCCUUCAUCUUCAAGUUUUUUUUUAUCUUCUAUCAUCUGUUACCAAAUGACUCAGUCUUCUGACUGGCAGAGACCAGAAAAAUCACAAAACCUUUUUUUUUUUUUUUUUUUUUGGAGAAGGUCUGUCUCCCAGGCUGGAGUGCAGUGGCAUGAUCUCAACUCACUGCAACCUCCACCUCCCAAGGGUCAAGCGAUUCUCCUGCCUCAGCCUCCUGAGUAGCUGGAAUUACAGGCGCCUAUCACCAUGCCCAGAUAAUUUUUAUAUUUUUAGUAGAGACGGGGUUUCACCAUGUUGGCCAGGCUGGUCUCAAACUCCUGACCUCAAGUGAUCUGCCUGCCUUGGCCUCCCAAAGUGCUUGGAUUACAGGUGUGAGUCACCACGCCCGGCUUAGAAAAAUCACAAAAUCUGAUGUCACAUGGCAAUGGCAAUACAAGAAUUUAAUCUUAGAUCUGAAUGCUGAUGGUAUGCUCUAUAUUUUAUUCAAAAUCUCUUGGAAUGUACACUGUUGACACAAAGAAGGCCAUUGCCUACUAAUAACAGCAUUACUAACUGGCAAAACCCCUGGAGAUCUGUUUUUUUUCCCCCCAGAAAAAUUACAUUGUAUAUUUCUAUCCUGCCCACCUGCCCACCUCCUUACUUACUCUACUGUUCAUUAUAGACAUAUGGUCCUUAACUUUUGUAGACAUAGCUAUACAUUUACAUACCAUAUAUUUAAAUGCAUACACAUAUAUAAUUUAUAUAAAAAUUAGUGAUGGGAAAUGUCUGUUUUUCUCAGUUAUAAAAUUAGGACAGUGUCUUGGAAUGAUGUUAUGUGACCCUUUGGAAAACAUCUUACAGCUGUUGUCCAGGCUGGAGCAUAGUGGCGGGAUCAUAGCUCAUGUAACCUCCAACUCCUGGGCUCCAGUAAUCCUCCAGCCUCAGCCUCCUGAGUAGCUGGGAUUACAGGUGCCCACUACCACACCUGGCUAAUUUUUGUAUUUUUUGUAGAGAUGGGGUUUCACCAUGUUGGCCAGGGUGGUUUUGAACUCCUGACCUCAAGUGAUAUGCCCUCCUCAGCCCCACAACGUGCUGGGAUUACAGGUAUGAGCCACCACGCCCAUUCUAAGAUGAAACUUUAAAAAACUUUUUUAGAACAGUUUUAGAUUUACAGAAAUAUUGUGAAGAUAGUAGAGCGUUUCCAUAGACCCCUAUUAUCACAUUUUACAAUAUUAUGAUUGUUAUUAUUAACAAACCGAUCCAAUUUCCUUAGUUUUUAUCUAAUGUCCUUUUUCUUUUCUGUUCCAGGAUCCCAUCCAGAAUACAUUACCUUUAGUCAUCAUGUCUCCUGUGGCUCUUCUUGGCUGUGACAGUUUCUCAGCUUUCCCAGUUUUAAUGAACUUGCCAUUUUCAUCAGAUUGUACCAAGACCUACUAUCAAUAUGACUUAUGACUAGUGGUGCUGACCUUGAUCACCUGGCUGAGGUAGUUCUUGUCAGGCUUCUCCACUGUCGAGUUGCUCUCCCCAUCCCCCUUUUCCAUAUUGUACUCUUUGAAAGAAAGUCACUAUAUGCAGCCCUUCCUUAAAAAUAUUAAAAUGAACUAGCUUAAUUA
rnacentral:lncRNA from 1 species